rnacentral:lncRNA from 1 species
GCUGACUGCAGCAUCCAUAUCCAAGAGAAAGACCACUGACGCCCAAGAAGUGAGACAAGCAAGGACUCUAUAGAAUCAAUUAGCAUAGAAGGGGCUUUCCCAACAGUUUAACUUUCCCUCUCAUGCGAUUUACCUACUUGAACCAGGGCUCUUUCCUACACUCCUCUUCACAUUCCCGACUUACACGCAGAGGGAAAGAGAAUUCAUAAAGGGAAUAUUUUUCUGCCUUUGAAGAUAUUCUCACAAGAUCGUUCUCCACGCCCAAGGUGUGGAAACAGGAAGAGAACUAGAACUGGAAGUAAAGCAUUGAAGAUGUGACUGAAUUGCUGCAAUCUCAUGAUCAAAUUUGAAUGGAUGAGGAGUUGCUUUUUAGGGAUGAGCAAAGAAAGUGGUUUCUCGAGAUGGAAUCUACUGGUGAAGUUGCUGUGAACAUUGUUAAAAUGCCAAUAAAGGAUUUAGGAAUUACAGAAACCUGGUUGAUAAAGCAGUGCCAGGGUGUGAGAGAGUUGACUUCAAUUUUGAAAUAAGUUCCACUGGCUGGGUGUGGUGGCUCACACCUGCAAUCCCAGUACUUUAGGAGGCCGAGACUGGUAGAUCAUUUGAGGUCAGGAGUUCAAGACCAGCCUUGCCAACAUGGUGAAACCCCACCUCUACCAAAUUAGCCAGGUGUGGUGCACACCUGUAGUCCCAGCUACUUGGGAAGCUGAGGCAGGAGAAUCUCUUGAACCAGGGAGGAGGAGGUUGCAGUAAGCCGAGAUGGCGCCCCUGCACUCCAGCCUGGGUGACAGAGUGAGACCUUGCGUUUAAAAAAAAAAAAAAAGGAAAAGGAAAAAAAAGUUCUACUGUGGGUAAAAUGCUAUCAUGCUAUCAAACAGCAUCACAUGCUACAGAGAAGUCUUGUGAAAGGAUGUCAGUGUGGCAAACUUCAUUGUCUUUUAAGAAAUUGCCACAGCUAUCGUAAUCUUCAACCACCACCACCCUGAUGAGUCAGUAGCCAUCGUUAACGUUGGCGUAAGACCCUCCACCAGCAAAAAGAUUGUUAGCAUUUUUUUAGCAGUGAUGUAUUUAUCAAUUAUACAUAAUGCUAUUGUACACUUCUUAAUAGACUAUGGUAUAGUGUAACCAUAAUUUAUGCACUGGGAAACCAACAAAUUCAUGAGAUUCGCUUUAUUGUAGUGCUCUGGAAUUGAGCCUGCCGUGUUUCUGAGGUUGCUCCUUGAGGGCAGGACAGUUCUUAUGGCUUUAUCCGUUGCGUAAGCACAGAGAGGUCUGCGAGGUCAAAACUAUUGUCAUGAUAGCAAGAUGCCUGUCUUUUUCAUUUAUUCUCACGGUGUGCAGAGGCUACAUGAUGUGUGAUGACAUCCUCAUUGAUGUUAAUGAAUGGUGCUAUACUUGAAUUUUCUAAGGUGUCAUUAGCAAUUCUCCUGCCUCAGCCUCCUGCAUAACUGGGACUACAGGGAAGCACCAUUUUCCACAAAACUCUCAAGAAGGACUUGUUGCAACUGGAAAAGCAAUUAAAUGUGAAUCGUGAUCCAGGAGAAAGUAACAACUCACAUAACUCCCAAAUUAAAAGUUUUCCAAAGAUAUAUCAUUUUUUUUCUCUUGGCCUUUUAAGAAACUAGCCAACAAAUACUCUUGACAGGUUUGUGUUUGGUUUUGAAAACACACACCUUAGUGUACUGAAAGAAAAACAAUUUCUUUUAAUUUGGUUUGUUGGUCCCACACCCCAUCUAUCAAUGUAUGUGCUAUUUACAAAUAAGUUCUAUACAGUAUUUUUGCAGUACCUUUGAUAAUUCCUAGACCUCUAUUUUCAUUCUGUGUAUUAAUGUGAAUAACAGAUGGAUAUUUUAAUAUUUAAGGCAGAUGGUAAACUUUCCUAUAGGUCUUGUGAGACUUCGUCUUAUAGGCUGAACACCAUUCACAAAAUGUAAUAAUGCUUCAUUCCUUCAGGUUGAGGUAAAGAACUUGAGCAACUGGAUUAGCAAAGCUGCAAAGAAUGAAAUGUGGCCUAAGAUGUAAUUAUGUUCUCUGCCCUUCCUUUGGGCCAGGGUAGUUUUGCACUUGACACAAUGGAAAAUAGGCCAUAAAGCCUGAAAAUAAAAUGUUCUAAACCCCAA